rnacentral:lncRNA from 1 species
AUAAAUGCUACCCCAGCCAUCUUCUCACCACAAGCUCUAGACUCCAGAUCGUGCUGUUAGAAGUUAAAUAUGAAGUUAUCAAUUGUUGUUUUCGGACUUGCAGUACUCGUCGCAGUUCUGGUAAAGUCAGGGGAUGCGACGCCUUCGAAAGAUGAGCUGCUAGAUGAAUUGACUGAACAGUUGUUGGUUAGAUAUUUGGAUCGCAGAAACCUAGAAAGAAACGUACAGAGUAAUGACGCACGAGAUAUAUACGACUACCCACCUGCGGAGAGCAACAACAGAGGAGGCAGAUACGACAACGGACCUGUGCGUCGUUGGUGGGGUGGUUCUCAUUCAACCACAAAUAACAAUCAAAAGGCACAAAAUACUGGAAACAUAGGCGGCAAUAUGAUUAAUGGUUGACUUUCAGCUGGAAGUAUUUCGGGCUCAAACCAAGGAAGGAAAUAGACUUUACAGAUCUAAGAACAACGAAUUGCUGCACAAAAGACAUAAUUUUCAAGAUAAAGAACAGAAAAGCUGAUUACCCAUCGAAAAAAGCAAUAAAAGUUUCUGGAUGUAAAUUCAUUUUCAAAUAACGUAACAUUGAACCUAUUUAUCCGUUUACGAUUAGAAUGAUAUACUCUACAAGAAAAUAUUAAAUCUGAUUUCGGCUUGAUGAUGAGCAUUUUAUCACCUUAAUUUGUUUUAUAUUAUUCCUUCAUUAUCUGUCUGCUUCACUAGAUCAAAAUAGACCAAAUAGAGAGUUUGCGAUUUCAUACGUGAACAUGCUGUAAAUUACUACAUGUGUUGCCUGCUGCACGUUAAAAUUACCUUUAUCAGCUUAACAUCGUAUCGAUGAUCGGUCCGAUACGAAUAAAAUCUUUCAUUUGUUUAACAGUUCUUUUUUAAAAACCUUUGAAAGCAAUGUAAACAUUUUAGGUAAAGUUGAAAGCGUGCAAGGUUUUGAAAAGGUACAUCGUAAUAUAUAGUGAUUUACCACGCAUGCGUGUACAUAUGAAAUCGCAACCUGUCUAUGAUUGUUGAUUUAUUUUCUGCUAUUAUGAAUUCUUAUACAUUUUGUAAUUUUUCAAACAUGUUGUAAUUUACUAUUUCAAUCAUUGUUUAUAUAACGUUUACAUUUUCCGCAUCAAAGAUGCCAAAUGUUUCGCAUAUGAAGACAUUCAGAAUAUUAAAAUUUGUGACGAACAAGCAGAUUUAAUAAAAUCUUAUUCUGUGCAACUUACUUUAUUUCUAUUAAACUGAAUUUUCUGCA